rnacentral:lncRNA from 1 species
CUCAUGUUUGGUGUUGUACCCGUAGAAGUUUACAGUAAUGAGUGUAAUGUCAUUGUAACAUGAUCACAAUACAAAUAAAGUGACCAAAGGGGUCACAUUAAGAGUGUAGAAUAGUACCACCAAAGGUAUUUUUUAUUGUAGUGACACCAGCGGAGCGUUCAGAUCCGUGGGAAAGCCAAAUAUCGUUGCCGCACUGUGACCUCCAGAAGUUGGCAUCAGCCGAAAUUGAGUGAGACUUGAAAAAAGCUAAAUCUGUUUAGCAAAUAAAAAUAAGGCCUUGCGCUUCACAUUGUUUCAUAACCCCCUAGCAUUAAGAGAAACUAUAUGCGAAGACAAAACAAAGAUAAUAUAAAAGAAUAAACUGUAAUAGGAUGAGUCAAAAACGUAGGAGCAGUGAAAGUAAGCGAUAAGGAACCGAGAUCUGCACCAUUUAAGUCAACUUAAAAGUGAAAAUAGCUUAUUCCAUAAACUCUGAGCAAGAUGUUAUCCGGCUUUUUAAAUUCAACUCAACAGAAAAUUAUGUUCAAGACCAAACCAAGGGUUCUUUGUAGUAAGAGAGACUAAAAACCCUCUUUAGUGUAAUCAGGAACUAUUCUGAGAAAUAAAAUACAAAAUAAUAAUUUAAAUAAAAGUGUACCUACUAUUUUAAGUGCAUAUGAAAACUGAUCAUAAAAAUGUGUAUAAAAAAUGUUUUACAUAUACAUGUUCCUAAGACCUUUUGCAACUUGGAAAUAAGUACUAAUAACUAAAUAGAAAAACUACCGUGUAAAGUCAGAGCAGACCUGUAUGCCCUUUAAAACAGUAUCUUAGUUACUGUAUACAUAAAAAAUAAAUACAACUUUCAGUCUUCUUCGUAAGUUUGUAAACAAAAUAGGCCUUCUGGUCAUACAAGAACAAACUAAUACAUUUCGGUGAUGUUUGUUAGGUAACGUUAAUCAAUACACGGAAAAUGUGAAUACCAUGGCCGAAACCAUCAAUCUGUUCCUUCUGGUGAGAUUUUAGGGAUUAAUAUGGAUUUCUGAAACGUUGAUGAAGCCUCGUCCUUCGACGAAGUAAGCAUCCUUUCCCUCCUUUCGUGCUUUCUUGAUCGUUGGCCAUGUCGAACUACAUUCGCCAAAAUACGAAGUAUACACGCAAUGAACACCAUUUCCGUACUUUUAGGGCCCAAAAUGCAAUUCUUCAGGAAAUGGGCGUGGCUUCACAACGUUUUCAGAUCUAAAGAAAAUGGCGGAAAAUAUGCAACCGAAGUACGACGAGCGGAAACAAAUUAAUUGCUUUACCUAAUUAUGACAAAUGACACUCCUCCACGACAUGAGGGCCAAGUGGAGAAAGAAGCGUAUGCGCAGGCUGAAGCGCAAGAGGCGAAAGAUGAGGCAGAGGUCCAAGUAGACUGCCUCCCCCUACAACACCAUGGCUGUGACCCUUCUGGACACAACACGGGACCAAGGAUCUCAUGUGCAAAGUCUGAUCAGAGCUGUGCCAUCAUUGCCAAUGAGAGGCUGCAAAGAGACAGUUCUACUGUUGUCUUGGUCAAGAGACUCCACCACCUGCCUGGGAAAUUUGAUAUGGGGACAUUCUGGAUUCUCUACUCUUCUACCAAACCUACCCUACUCCAUUGCUUUUGUUUAUAAUUUCCAAUAAAGUUUUUGGUUUAAAGUUGUCUUUGUUGCUUCUGAAACACGGUCCAGAAUGUAAUUCCUAUCAUACUGCAACCGUUUACCAUUAUUGCUGACUGAGUUCAGUUCUGGUGACUAGUCAAAUCAAACAUUCUUAUAGGUAACCCGUAUGUUGAUGCGCUUCCCUUAAACCAGUCUCUUAAAUGAACUAAGGUCAUCAGUAUGACUAUCUGAGGAAAGGUUAUGCUGCAUGCAUUUUCUCACAGGUUGUAAGAAGAGUGCAUGGGCUACUUAC